rnacentral:rRNA from 1 species
UACGGAGGGUGCAAGCGUUGUCCGGAUUUAUUGGGUUUAAAGGGUGCGUAGGCGGUUAAUUAAGUCAGUGGUGAAAUCCUGGAGCUCAACUUCAGAACUGCCAUUGAUACUGGUUGACUUGAGUACAGAUGAGGUAGGCGGAAUUGACGGUGUAGCGGUGAAAUGCAUAGAUAUCGUCAAGAACACCGAUAGCGAAGGCAGCUUACUGGGCUGUAACUGACGCUGAUGCACGAAAGUGUGGGGAUCAAACAGG